CUCCACGGGAAGGGUGAGACUUGCGGAAGCUGUCGCGCUGGACCUCCCUGCUUCCGUUGGAGGACUCGACCAUGUGGAGAGGGUAGUGGCCCACCAGCUCCACGAACAACCGCACGAAACCCUCCGACACCAGAGAGCUCAGGAUCUGCUGCAGCGCUGCCUGCAGUUUACUGGGCAGGAUGCAGUCUUCAUCGCCCAGCUGUUACACAUCACAGGAGAGGUCAACAGCAGUCACACAAUGCCCUUUACAAACAUACAUCUAAACUGACUCGCACACGGUCACAAAAUACAAUCAAAAAUAAGCUACAAGCUUUUUUCUUCCAUUUAUUUUUUUAAGUUUAGCUGUUAUUUAGGUUGUUAGGACGGCUGAUGUUUGUGUUUGAAUGCGUGCGUUUGAUUUCAUUUUGUGUUUAUUGUUUUUUGGUGCCUUAUUCCAUGUUUUGGUUAAUAAUAAUAAUAAUAAUAAUAAUAAUAAUAAUAAUAAUAAUAAUAAUAAUAAUAAUAAUAAUAAAGAAAAUACUGUAUGAACUUCUGACUUACUAGAAGGGAUUUCCCAUGUAUUGAUCCCGUUUAGCCAAUCUGUUCGGAUGAAUUGACAGCUGUAUAUUUUUGUUAUUAAUUAUGUUUUGUGAUGCACAAAGAUGGAUUUUAAAUAUGGAGUACAACAAAACAAAAGACCAAAUGCUGUUAAGCACAAAAGGCAAUCUGUAAUUAUUUGGACAAUGAGUCAUAAAAAUCCAAUAUGCAAAAAGAAAAGAAAAAAAAAAAGUAUCAACGUCUAAAUACCAUUUCUACAGACUGUCAAAUAAUCCUAAUGCUAUUCAUCUAUAUUUAUUUAUUCAGACCUUUCAAACAAUGAUGUACCUCAUGUUGCAUGCUGAGGAGGGAAGCUACCAGCGAUAUUGAAAUUUGAGUUCUGUAUAACAAGUGGCAAGUCAAUCGCUGCAUGUCGCAUCGGCUCGUAGUUUAUACAGAAAGAACGGCUGAACAAAGAUUCAUUUAAAUUAAAUGUCAAAUUAAGACAGACAAAUAUUAACACAACCAAACAAAACAAACGCGUUUGUCAUUAAUUGACUAGACUGAUUCCGUUUGACUGACAACCACGCAGAUCUGAAUUUGCUGCUAAACAGCCUUCCCGAUUGUGUUCUGGGAUUACAUCCUUUAUAGUUUUAUCUCUGCAGCGCUUGUGUGGCUGUAACAUCGUUUUCUCUCUGUCACCCUCAAAACAAUCGGCAUGCAAACAAGGGACAAGUGCAGGCAAAGCCAUCUCUCCCCACUGGGACCACACCCAUCAUUCCCUUUAUACACUGCUAUGUGUACACACCUGAAUCACAAACUUGUCAGCACACAGAUCCACAAUGAGCACCUGCAAAGACAGCGAGAAGAAAGAAUGACAGUUACUGACUGCGAGAGUUCACUAUUUCGCAACAAGAGUUAUAAGAAGGUGGGGUGAGUCUGAGCUACAGUGUCUUCAGGGUGUUUUUCCACUACUACUCACACACAGUGGAAGCUACAGUGGCGCUUCAUUCACAAUACGCAGUAAGUACACAGCCGAGAGAUGGCACUACAACCGCUAUAUAGGCAGACCAGUCUAUUUAAACUGUAUUGGACAAUGAUUAUAACAGAAUUCUAACUGACCUCCUCGAUGGGCAGCUCCAGCAGCUCUGGCAGGCAGGGUGCCAGCACCCCGAUGAGGAAUGGGGUGGGGGAGCAGCUGAUGUCCAGCAUGCUGGCCGGUAGCACAGGCACAAAUGUGUGCUGCCAGGUGAAGGGGUACAGCAGCGCUAGCACUGCAUGGCUACACCGAGACAACACGCUAAAGAGAACAAGGGAGGAGAGAACAGAUUAAACACAAAAACACUAUUCAGUUCUCACACAGAUCAUAUGACCCAAAGAUAUCAAUCAUAGCUCCCUGAAAAUAGCACGUCACACCAUUAUAAUUCUUUUCCACCACACUAUCAAAGUGACCGAGUGUAAAAGCGAACAGCACCAUGUGUACAUGCACAUGUAUUAAUCCUGCUAUUUCUAAUAACUUUAAAACUAUUUAUCCUCUACAUUUCCUCUCCAAAAUCCGUAAACAAUUAAUAUCCAAUUAAUUGCUGGCUAAUUCUAUUUCUAAACUUUUCGUCAGCCUAAAACCGCUCUGUAGCACAGAAACUGCUGCUGACUCCAUCGCAAGCUUUUCAUUCUUAAUCUAAACAGUGUUUUACACUGCUGAUAUUGGCAGCUUGAUAUUGGCUUGUUAUCAAUAUCACCAUAUUUGAUGGCAGAUAUGCAAAAAGGAAUUGUUUACAUAAUUCACAUUUCAUGUAUUUAUAUAAUCUUUAUAAUAUAUAAAGUUAAGUUUAUUUUUCAAAUGAGAAAAGUCCUGCUGAAUAAUCUUAGCAUGGGUCAGCACUUUGUUAUUGUGUAGCCCUGUACAGCCCGCUGAGACACUGCAAGUGAUAUUGGGCUGUACAAAUAAACCUGACUUGACUUGCCGUUGGGACUUUGCCAUAGCUUAGCACUGAGGCCAAGGUACACACAGAUUAAUGACAGGGGCGCUGGUCCUGUGUGAUGUAAUCAAGCAUUGACACUCAAAGUCUAUCGUGUGUGUGUGUGUGUGUGUGUCCUGCAGUGUUUUGUGUUACCACAGCAGUACCUGAGAUUGUCCGCGAUGAAGAUGACCCUCCUCUCAAGCAGAAGGGAGGCAAACACCUGCAGGAGAUUCCCGACACUGAGACACUGCAGCAGGCAGCUGAAGUCCACGUGCUCCAGUCUGGAGUCCACUGGUCGACACAAAGGUUACCUCAUUCCCUGAUCCAGGGAGAAAGCUUUUGAUGGUGACUGUGCGUCCAGGGGCUGGAAAAGGGGCCUCCAUCACGCUACGCAUAAAUGGGUAAACCAGCGCUGGGGAAAUCUCCCUGCGCUUCUCCACCUCCUCCAAAAUCUGGACAGACAGAGACAGACACUUCACUGUGUGUCCUGAAAGAAGUGUUGAUUAAAGACACAAUAAGCAGCUCUGCGCAAAGAAUGAUGUUUUCGUAACAAGGCUAACUGGUACAUGGGUGUGACACCGCUAUAUGCAUACAAUUUCUUUUUUGAAAAACACACCCAGGGAUUGCUCAGGAUUAUCAUAAAGAGUAGCCUCAUUCCGUCCUCACACAUACAAGGAGUUUCAAGGCAGUAGCUUUCACACACUUUAAAAAGGACUCCCAUUGAACGCAAGACAACUCCCUUUCAUCUCCUAACAAAGGCUUCUUGUGUCGUGGCCUUACCUUUGCAAAGAGGUUGAAACAGCCCAGUUUGCUGACAAUACAGUGCACCUCAGGAAGCCUCUUUCCUUUUCCAAUGGGCUUAAAGACAAAUGCAGGUUCAUAUAUCAUUAAACGGGUAACAACAGAGAUAACUAUGCCAAACAUAUAUUACAAUAUAUAAUAUACAAUAUUAAAGCAGCAUUAUGCAACUAUUUUACCUCAAAGUCAUUUAGAUGCUACACUGACUUGUAACUGGGUGAAUGGGCUCUCAAUCCCACUUUGCGUCCCGUAAAACUAUAUAAUAAUUUAGUGAGCUGACCGUAUAAUCUCCCGAGGGAAGUGCGUAAACUUUACGGCACUAAGUUGAUUGUGUUGAAACUGGAUCAUAUUUUACAGAGAAAGUGUUUUCUGGUUUUCCCUCUGCUGUCGUCCGGCUGCUUUACAAUUCCCUGAUGGACAGAAAGCUUUACUUGUUGCUAAAUGAAUACUAACUGCUUCUAACAGUAGCUGCCUUCAGCUAGUUAGCUGUUGGCUCAGUUAACCGCUGAGGGGGAUGUUGGCGGGGAGCGAUGCCGGUGUUGUGCCAGAACAGAGCCGGGUUCAGCAAACUUCUCCGGACUAAGUAUCAGCUUGCUUUGUCUUACUGCACUAGCGUGAUGUUUGGCUGCGUUAGCAAAGUUGUCGACUCGUUUUGAUCAUUCAGAAAUGUAAUCAAUACAAAUGCAUGUGUAACGUUACAGCUGUCCAUAUUCACAUCAGCGGUGUGUACGUGAACUUACAAAGCUAGCGAUUACUACAUAAUGUUGCUUUUUACAUAAACAAAGUACAAUCAGGUUCUUAUCAAGAGCAUAUUUCCCCAUAUAAUGAGUUUAAUAGUAUGAUGAAUGAGAACUUUGUAGAUUAGAAAAACAAAUCAACAGUCUAAAGUCUAAACGUUUAUGAUAGUGGUGGUGAGCUUAUCUACCAACAAAACAAAUAUAAGAUUUCAUGUUAGGUCUGUCUACACACUAAAGAUAGAAUAAGCACACAACACAUAGUUAAAGAGCGCUCAACAAGACAACCGCAGUAUGUUGACAAUCAUAAAUAAACAGAAACAAAAUAGAAGAGGCAGCGACACCACUUCAUCUCAACCUAACAAAGGGUUUUGAAAAAUGUCUUAAAAAGUCAGCUCUCCCUGUGGGGCAGAAGGAAGGGGAAAUGAUGAAAUCCUUCUUGUACUCUGUCAUUGACUCAGAAGUGGUUUAUUGUCUGUGAAUCACAUGUACUGAUUCACAUGUCCUCAGAGAUGUUGAGUAAGCAUGUGGCAGGCUGCCAUAUCAUAGCACACACACACACACACACACACACACACACACACACACACACACACACACACAGUCAAUGAUUCAGAUGCAAAUGUUAACACAUCCACACUUACCAAGAUCUUACGGCAGUAACAAAACCAGCGGCUGCCAUCCUCUCCGGUCAGGACAAAGGAGAAGGUCUCACUGUAAACAACAUUAUAAACAACAACAUUAAUAUACAACAGAUGGUAUUUAAAUUAUUUCAUGUGACUUCUUACUGCCUAAAAAAACCCACAUAACCAUGAUUGUAAAAAUGUCUGUCUUUUUUUCCAGCAUUUAUUCAUGAAUUAUACCGAAACUAGGUAAAUGGACGGGUCGUUGUGUCUUUUGUUUGUCUGCACUACAACAGAUAAGUGUUUCAAAGACAGGGAGGCAGUGUAAGUUGAUAUCAUAACCCACAGAACAACAAUGAACCAUACCCAGCAGUAAAAAAAUAAAAGAAAGGAAGAAUGCCCAAUGCCCCUUAGCACUCAGAGAUUUAAUUAGAUCAGUUGAAAUGUUAAUUAUCACUGUGGGGAAUUUAAGUUGUUGCAGCAGCAAUUUAUGGAUUACAGCUGAGGAUAUAAAUAAGAUAAGAGGAAAGGGAGGCAUUAAACAUAAUACAACUGAUAAUUAUGGUGAUAGAGCACAGCUAAAUAGUGUACAGGAAAGAAAAGUCAGACAACAUUUAGUGCACAUGAAAGGUGUGUGUAUAGUGUCAACAGAAAAUACAGACAUAAAGGAAAUGAUGAACGCAUAAACAGCAUACAGUGUCCUGUUACCAUUGUGGUAUUUUCAUAUCCUUUGGGAGGCAGUUACUUCUGUAUACAUGCAGCAUGCUAUUAAAAUAAGCCUGUAGUGCAUGUGCUGACCUUGGAGUGUGUGCUGAGGGCUUCCAGUCCUGUGCG